rnacentral:rRNA from 1 species
AUGGNNANCCGCACGAGCGCACCCCUGUCCUUAGUUGCCAUCAGGUAAUGCUGGGAACUCUAAGGAGACAGCCUGUGAUAAACAGGAGGAAGGUGGGGAUGACGUCAAGUCAUCAUGGCUCUUACGUCCUGGGCUGCAAACGUGCUACAAUGGCUGGUACAAAGGGUUGCGAUGCCGCGAGGUGGAGCCAAUCCCAGAAAACCAGUCUCAGUUCGGAUUGGAGUCUGCAACUCGACUCCAUGAAGGUGGAAUUGCUAGUAAUCGCGGAUCAGCAUGCCGCGGUGAAUACGUUCCCGGGUCUUGUACACACCGCCCGUCAAGCUAGGAAAGACGGAAACGGCUGAAGUCGCGUACCUAACCGCAAGGAGGGGAGUGCCUAAGCCGGAGUUGUCGAUUCGAGCUAAGUCGUAACAAGGUAGCCGUACCGGAAGGUGCGGCUGGAUCACCUCCUUU